AGCUUCAGAGCUGAUGGAGAGACAGAGAGCACGCAACUGGAAAAAAUCAGACAUGGAAUUCAUGGAUUAACUGGUCACCAAUUGUUUCAGCAUUGCGUAUUGAAUAAUACAACCUUCUUCCACUGCCGUGAAAUGUCAACAGCUGCUCUCCCACUAGAUAGGGCGUAGCUUUCCACAGACGUGAAAACAUCGCUGUGGUCCAUCUCUAUUUACUGCAAGCAGAAGGGUCAAGACAGAAAACAUAGAGGCUUUUAGUAGGAGAGGGCAGACAUGCUUUAUCAUAUCAUUGAGCUACAAUUCUGGCCUACAGCAGAGAUACAGCCUGGUAUCCAUUAAGAGCAAGGCCUCUGGACCCAGGCUUCCUGGGCUUGCCUCCUGAUCCCAUCUUUUACUAAUUGUAUCGCCACAGAAAGAAAGGCUCCAGAUUUAUGUUUCCUGGUAUUGCUGCUAUUGGUAUUACUGUCCAUUAUUACUAUUAUCAUCAUCAUCAUCAUCAUCACUAUUAUUAUUAUUAUUUUGCAAUUAAACUACAUUGGUGAAUCUUUAAUGUCCAUCUACUGAAAUAGCUACAGUGCAAGACGGAGAGAGGCCUUCAUGCAUGGUGUGCAUUUGCCACCUAGUGACCACACUGAGGGAGAAGGAACAUGGACCAUCCACCCAGUCUUCCAAACAACAUCCCUCACCCAUAGUUGAAACUUUGGAUUCAGACCCUUCUCUGGCACUUCUGACAAUAAGUUUGGUGACCCAUGCUCUGGAGGAAGAAAGUGAAGAAGAGCAAGACUACUUCUCUGCAGCAAACUCUGAUGUUCUCUGUUCUUUCCUUACCACUGUUGUCAUGAGCAGCAUUUUUUUCCAUAGGUGCAUUGUUAUCCUUGCCAUGAGAGCAGACAAAAAUGAAAAAUAGUUGCCAAGUAACCAGAACUGCUGAUAGGAAACUUUGGGAAAUACCACUGAGAUGUGCUUUGGUAUUUUAUUUCUGGGAACAAACCAAUUGUCUUGGACUUUCACAGUACUCUUUUCUAUGUCUCACCCUUUACCACAAAGGUCCUUAAGUCCUUUGACAUGCAUAGUGUGAGGGAUUCUGGCACACAUUCUAGAACCUCGCAAAGUGUGUGUGUGUGGGGGGCUGCUAUCUGCUUUAUCAUCUUCAUUCCUGAAGUUUACUUUAAUUCUGAUUAGUUUGGCAUAAGGUCAUUUGUUGUAUGUAGUCAUCUAAGUUAUGUAUUGCCUGAUCCUGAGUAGCAGAGUAUUUAUCAUAAAUUCCUUGAUUUGCAUUGGUACCUAACCAAGGAGGAGGAGUUAGUAUAGUUAAUUUCCAUACUUCCCUCUUGUUCUCAUGUUUGCCUCACCCAAGUGUUUCUGAGAUGCUGAACCUCCUCCAGAAAAGGUAAUGCUAAAAUUUCCUGUUCCCAAAAGGUGCUGCAGAACUCACUUCUAGUUGAAGUUUGAGUGUUUAAUUCACUUUUGUAAUCUCAUUAUUUGACUAAAGUAUUGUUAAAGUG
ensembl:processed_transcript